UACGUAGGGUGCAAGCGUUAUCCGGAAUUAUUGGCGUAAAGAGCUACGUAGGCGGUUUGUCGCGUCUGCUGUGAAAACUCGGAGGCUCAACCUCCAGCCUGCAGUGGGUACGGGCAGACUAGAGUGCGGGUAGGGGAGAUUGGAAUUCCUGUGUAGCGGUGGAAUGCGCAGAUAUCAGGAGGAACACCGAUGGCGAAGGCAGAUCUCUGGGCCGUAACUCAGCUGAGGAGACGAAAGCAUGGGGAGCGAACAGG
rnacentral:rRNA from 1 species